UCAGUCGGCUGGGCGGCCGCGCGACUUUUGUCUCGAGGAACGUCCGGGCUCCACAGGGCAGGAUGGUGGCUAACAGCCACCCGAGGUGACUCGCGGGCUAGUGCCACAGAAAACAAACCGCUGCAUAGUGCAGUAAGGGUGAAACGGUGAGGUAAGAGCUCACCAGCGAUACGGGUGACCGUAUCGGCUAGGUAAACCC
rnacentral:RNase_P_RNA from 1 species